UAGGUUGGGUGUGUAAGCGCUGUGAGGCGUUGAGCUAACCAAUACUAAUUGCCCGUGAGGCUUGACCAU
rnacentral:rRNA from 3 species